GUUGUUGUGGCUGAGUCGUUAAGGUGAUGGACUAGAAAUCCAAUGGGGUUUCCCCUUGCAGGUUCAAAGCCUGCCAACAACG